rnacentral:rRNA from 1 species
AUUGAACGCUGGCGGCAUGCCUUACACAUGCAAGUCGAACGGCAGCACGGGUGCUUGCACCUGGUGGCGAGUGGCGAACGGGUGAGUAAUACAUCGGAACAUGUCCUGUAGUGGGGGAUGGCCCGGCGAAAGCCGGAUUAAUACCGCAUACGAUCUACGGAUGAAAGCGGGGGACCUUCGGGCCUCGCGCUAUAGGGUUGGCCGAUGGCUGAUUAGCUAGUUGGUGGGGUAAAGGCCUACCAAGGCGACGAUCAGCAGCUGGUCUGAGAGGACGACCAGCCACACUGGGACUGAGACACGGCCCAGACUCCUACGGGAGGCAGCAGUGGGGAAUUUUGGACAAUGGGCGAAAGCCUGAUCCAGCAAUGCCGCGUGUGUGAAGAAGGCCUUCGGGUUGUAAAGCACUUUUGUCCGGAAAGAAAUCCUUGGCCCUAAUACGGUCGGGGGAUGACGGUACCGGAAGAAUAAGCACCGGCUAACUACGUG